UACGUAGGGGGCAAGCGUUGUCCGGAUUUAUUGGGCGUAAAGAGCGUGUAGGCGGCUAGAUAGGUCCGUUGUGAAAACUCGAGGCUCAACCUCGAGACGUCGAUGGAAACCAUCUGGCUAGAGUCCGGAAGAGGAGAGUGGAAUUCCUGGUGUAGCGGUGAAAUGCGCAGAUAUCAGGAGGAACACCGGUGGUGUAGACGGCUUUCUGGACCGUAACUGACGCUGAAACACGAAAGCGUGGGUAGCAAACAGG
rnacentral:rRNA from 1 species